rnacentral:rRNA from 1 species
UACAGAGGGGGCAAGCGUUGUUCGGAAUUACUGGGCGUAAAGGGCGCGUAGGCGGCCUGUUAAGUCGAACGUGAAAUCCCCGGGCUCAACCCGGGAACUGCGUCCGAUACUGGCAGGCUUGAAUCCGGGAGAGGGAUGCGGAAUUCCAGGUGUAGCGGUGAAAUGCGUAGAUAUCUGGAGGAACACCGGUGGCGAAGGCGGCAUCCUGGACCGGUUCUGACGCUGAGGCGCGAAAGCGUGGGGAGCAAACAGG